rnacentral:lncRNA from 1 species
CUAACCACCAUACUUUCUCUCUUCACCUUGCUCCGACGGCUUGCAUCAUCAUCAUUUGCCAACCUCACUUCAACUCUCAUAAACUCAACACUUCCUUUCUUCUACACCACAAAUAAACCAUCACAAAUAUAAUCCACACAUAUCCACCUAUAAAACUCCUAAAAACCAUUACUACACAUCUCAUACUCUUUUCCCUUCAUGACACAACCUAGCAAGUAUAACUUCUUAACUCCAUAUCUCUCUCAAUAUCACACAUAAUAAGAAAUAAAGAGACCACAUAAGAAUCCAUCAUUUUCUACUGCUCUUCAACUGCAACAAUUUCAAUAUCACCACACCAUUUUAUUUCUUCACUAAAAAAACACAACAAAAAACAUAAAUUUCUAUCAUCAUCUUAAACCCAACAACAAAUACUACUCAUACUACACAACCAAACCGCAACCACCAUCGUGCAAAGAUCACCGGAUCGCCAUUACCGUGCCGCACCUGCCCUCCCUGUGAGUUUCGAACCACCGUCGAAACUACCGAGCACAAACGGUACAUGUAUUCGUCAGUCCUUUAUAUAUAUAUAUAUAUAUAUAUAUAUAUAUAUUUGCUUGUUUUCGAACCACCGUCGAAACUACCGAGCACAAACGGUACAUGUAUUCGUCAGUCCUUUAUAUAUAUAUAUAUAUAUAUAUAUAUAUAUAUUUGCUUGCUUUGGUUGUUGUUUUCUAUUUGUGUGCUUUAUUAUUUUUUUCGUUGUUUAUUGUUGUUGUUCAUAAGAUGCUUAAGAGAGGAAAGCUUGUUCAUGAGAAUGCUUUAUUUUGUUUUGUUGUUUGUUCAUGAGAUGCUUGCAUUUUUUUUAAAUAUAUUAUGGUUGUUGUUGUUCAUGAUUUUGCUUGAGAGAGGAAAGAUUUAUUUUAGUUUUGCAAAAAUGUUGUGUGAUUUUGUUCUUUUGGUUGUUUCUUUCUGCAGGUGAGAAAGGAGAAGAGUAUUUUGUUUUGUUUUGAUUUUUUCUUAUACACUGCCACAUGUCCGAGUUUAGGUGGUGCCUUUUGGAAAAAUUUAAAAAAAAUCCUUAUUUCUCCUUAAACAUGUCCUCCUUAUUUAUUUCAUUUUCUGGUUUUUUUUUUGUUUUGCUUUGUUAUUUUUAUUACAAUUAUUAUUAUACUUAUUAUAUAUUAUUAUUAUUAUUAUUAUUAUUAUUAUUAUUAUUAUUUACCAUAAGUACUAUUAUUAUCAUUAUGUAUAUUAUUACUAUCAUUAUUAUUAUUGUUAUUAAUAUUAAUUAGGGGUGAUUAUUUGUAAUUUAUUAUUAUUAUUAUUAUUAUUAUUAUUGUUAUUAUUAUUUUAAAAUAACUAAAUAUUUGAGAGUAUGAAAGUGGCAUAGAGGAAAGCAGGUGUGACGUUGCUUUUCCUAUUUAUUUAUCUUUUAUGUUUUUUUUUUAUUAUUUUGUUUUCUAUUUUAUUUUUAUGGCUAAUUCAUUUUUUUUAUAAUUAGUUGUCCAUUUUGAUAAUGGACCCUAAGCCCAUAUUAUUCGUUGCUUAGACACCUCCCAUGCAAAUGUGCAUCUUGUUGUAUGUUUCUAUUUUUUUUUUCUCUUGAUUAGUUUAAUUAUUUACUUUAGUAAUUCAUUAUCUGUUUAUUUAAUUAAUUAAUUAGAUUUUUUUUUAAUUGUUAAUUGAAUUAUUUGAUUAAUUGUUUGAUUGAUUUUAUUUGCAUUUAGACAAUUAAUUUGGUAAUCUCUAUCCAUAUGCCUCAUAUGUAAAUAAUCAUGCUAACUUUCAAUUUCA